rnacentral:rRNA from 1 species
AGGAUGCGGCAGGCCUAACACAUGCAAGUCGAGCGAGAUCUUCGGAUCUAGCGGCGGACGGGUGAGUAACGCGUGGGAACGUACCCUCUUCUGCGGGAUAGCCACUGGAAACGGUGAGUAAUACCGCAUACGCCCUUCGGGGGAAAGAUUUAUCGGAGGAGGAUCGGCCCGCGUUGGAUUAGGUAGUUGGUGGGGUAAUGGCCUACCAAGCCUACGAUCCAUAGCUGGUUUUAGAGGAUGAUCAGCCACACUGGGACUGAGACACGGCCCAGACUCCUACGGGAGGCAGCAGUGGGGAAUCUUAGACAAUGGGCGCAAGCCUGAUCUAGCCAUGCCGCGUGAGUGACGAAGGCCUUAGGGUCGUAAAGCUCUUUCGCCUGUGAUGAUAAUGACAGUAGCAGGUAAAGAAACCCCGGCUAACUCCGUGCCAGCAGCCGCGGUAAUACGGAGGGGGUUAGCGUUGUUCGGAAUUACUGGGCGUAAAGCGCACGUAGGCGGAUUGGAAAGUAUGGGGUGAAAUCCCAGGGCUCAACCCUGGAACGGCCUCAUAAACUUCCAGUCUGGAGUUCGAGAGAGGUGAGUGGAAUUCCGAGUGUAGAGGUGAAAUUCGUAGAUAUUCGGAGGAACACCAGUGGCGAAGGCGGCUCACUGGCUCGAUACUGACGCUGAGGUGCGAAAGUGUGGGGAGCAAACAGGAUUAGAUACCCUGG